CUGGUGUGAAGUCAAAGGGUGUGAUGUUGACUUGAGACUAGACUUGCUACAUGUCCUUCCUAAUUAUGUUUUUUUCUUUUUUUUUUCCAAUUUUGCCCCUUUAAUAAUUUUACUGCUAUAACUAGGAGAUUACAAUUAUACUGACAUCUACUGGUCGGUAUAAAAUGUUAUUAUACAAGUCCCUUUCUCCAAGGGCAAUCAGUAGGC
rnacentral:lncRNA from 1 species